rnacentral:rRNA from 1 species
AUUGAACGCUGGCGGCAGGCUUAACACAUGCAAGUCGAACGAGUGGCGGACGGGUGAGUAAUGACUGGGAAACUGCCCGAUGGAGGGGGAUAACUACUGGAAACGGUAGCUAAUACCGCAUACCAUCGGAUGGGCCCAGAUGGGAUUAGCUAGUAGGUGGGGUAACGGCUACCCUAGUGGGCGAACCCUAGCUGGUAUGAGAGGCUGACCAGCCACCCUGGAACUGGGACACGGUCCAGACGCCUACGGGAGGGAGCAAGUGGGAAUAGUGCACAGUGGGCGCAAGCCUGAUGCAGUCAUGCCGCCUGUAUGGAUAAGGCCUUCGGGUUGUAAUGUCCUUUCAGCGGUUAUGCGUUACUGGCAGAAGAAGCACCGGCUAACUCCGUGCCAGCCGCCGCGGUAAUUC